rnacentral:rRNA from 1 species
AUUGAACGCCGGCGGCAUGCCUUACACAUGCAAGUCGAACGGCAGCACGGGUGCUUGCACCUGGUGGCGAGUGGCGAACGGGUGAGUAAUAUAUCGGAACGUACCUUAUUGUGGGGGAUAACGCAGCGAAGGCUGUGCGAAUACCGCAUAAUCCCUAAGGGGGAAAGCGGGGGACCGUAAGGCCUCGCGCAAUUAGAGCGGCCGAUACCUGAUUAGCUAGUUGGUGAGGUAAAGGCUCACCAAGGCAACGAUCAGUAGCUGGUCUGAGAGGACGAUCAGCCACACUGGGACUGAGACACGGCCCAGACUCCUACGGGAGGCAGCAGUGGGGAAUUUUGGACAAUGGGGGCAACCCUGAUCCAGCACUGCCGCGUGAGUGAAGAAGGCCUUCGGGUUGUAAAGCUCUUUUGUCAGGGAAGAAACAGCAGCUCUAACACAGUUUGCGAAUGACGGUAGCUGAAGAAUAAGCACCGGCUAACUACGUGCCAGCCGCCGCCGUAA